GGCAACUUGGCGGAGUGGUUAACGCGAUGCCCUGCUAUUUGCUCAGCCUCUGAGUUAAAAGCCUAGGCAUUUCCUUCGGGAGCGCAGGUUCGAAUCCUGCAGUUGUCG